AACGAACGCUGGCGGCAGGCCUAACACAUGCAAGUCGAACGCCGUAGCAAUACGGAGUGGCAGACGGGUGAGUAACACGUGGGAACGUACCCUUCGGUUCGGAAUAACUCAGGGAAACUUGAGCUAAUACCGGAUACGUCCGAGAGGAGAAAGAUUUAUCGCCGAGGGAUCGGCCCGCGUCUGAUUAGCUUGUUGGUGAGGUAACGGCUCACCAAGGCGACGAUCAGUAGCUGGUCNGAGAGGAUGAUCAGCCACAUUGGGACUGAGACACGGCCCAAACUCCUACGGGAGGCAGCAGUGGGGAAUAUUGGACAAUGGGCGCAAGCCCGAUCCAGCCAUGCCGCGUGAGUGAUGAAGGCCC
rnacentral:rRNA from 1 species